rfam:Ochotona princeps cont2.133157, whole genome shotgun sequence.
AGCUGCCAGGAGUCUUAAUUUAUUCUGUAACCUUUGCUAUGUAAGGGUCUUUGGUGUUUUAAUGACUGUUCUUUGUGCC